AACGAACGCUGGCGGCAGGCUUAACACAUGCAAGUCGAACGGUAACAGGCCGCAAGGUGCUGACGAGUGGCGAACGGGUGAGUAAUGCAUCGGAACGUGCCCAGUCGUGGGGGAUAACGCAGCGAAAGCUGCGCUAAUACCGCAUACGAUCUGUGGAUGAAAGCGGGGGACCGAAAGGCCUCGCGCGAUUGGAGCGGCCGAUGUCAGAUUAGGUAGUUGGUGGGGUAAAGGCCCACCAAGCCAACGAUCUGUAGCUGGUCUGAGAGGACGACCAGCCACACUGGGACUGAGACACGGCCCAGACUCCUAGGGGAGGCAGCAGUGGGGAAUUUUGGACAAUGGGCGCAAGCCUGAUCCAGCCAUGCCGCGUGCGGGAAGAAGGCCUUCGGGUUGUAAACCGCUUUUGUCAGGGAAGAAACGCUCUGGGUUAAUACCUCGGGGUAAUGACGGUACCUGAAGAAUAAGCACCGGCUAACUACGUGCCAGCCGCCGCGGUAAAAC
rnacentral:rRNA from 1 species